rnacentral:lncRNA from 1 species
GUAGAAAACACUCAUUCAAAACUGCUCUGGAAAAUCUUUGCAUAAAUCAUUAUGCAAUCAAUAAAUAUUCAUUUUUUUAAAACAACUUUACACGAAAUGUUUUGAUAUGGGAUAUAGAUUCAGAAACUCUGUUAUAAAAGGUGACCUGCUGCAAGAAAAAAGUCCCUAUUCAUUAUACCCACAUUUUCCAGUAGCAAACAAAAUUUUCCGACUCUCAUCGUGAACGACCGCUAUUAUAGGACCUACCUACUGUAUUUAUUCUUGUCCUGAAUAUGCAUGAAAUAUUUGCAGUAGGACGUUAAGCAAAC